UACGGAGGGUGCAAGCGUUGUCCGGAUUUAUUGGGUUUAAAGGGUGCGUAGGCGGCUUUUUAAGUCAGUGGUGAAAUCCAUCAGCUCAACUGAUGAACUGCCAUUGAUACUGGGAAGCUUGAGUACAGACGAGGUAGGCGGAAUUGAAGGUGUAGCGGUGAAAUGCAUAGAUAUCUCCAAGAACACCGAUUGCGAAGGCAGCUUACUAGGCUGUAACUGACGCUGAGGCACGAAAGUGCGGGGAUCAAACAGG
rnacentral:misc_RNA from 1 species